rnacentral:rRNA from 1 species
AGCUAAUAGAUACCCGGGUAGUCCUAGCUGUAAACGGUGCACGUUUGGUGUGGGAGGCAACCCCUUCCGUGCCGAAAGCUAAACGCGAUAAAAACGUGCCGCCUGGGUAGUACGGUCGCAAGACUAAAACUCAAAGAAAUUGACGGGGACCCGCACAAGCGGUGGAGUAUGUGGCUUAAUUCGAUGCAACGCGAAGAACCUUACCAGGGCUUGACAUGUAUUGUAACCCCGGUGAAAGCCGGGCAGCAUGGAAACAUGCGCUUUACACAGGUGCUGCAUGGCUGUCGUCAGCUCGUGUCGUGAGAUGUUGGGUUAAGUCCCGCAACGAGCGCAAUCCUUAUGAUUUGUUGCCACCGGUUCAUUCCGAGCACUCAAAUCAGACUGCCCAGAUUAACUGGGAGGAAGGUGGGGAUGACGUCAAGUCCGUAUGGCCCUUACGUCCUGGGCUGCACACGUACUACAAUGUCCAGUACAAAUUGAACCGAUACCGCAAGGUGAGGAAAUCACAAACUGGGCUCAGUUCAGAUUGCAGG